CAAAUGAUGACCUCCAGAUGGAUGACUGCUUCUGAGAUUCUUGAAGAUACAUCUAUCUGAAC
rnacentral:snoRNA from 1 species